UUUCCAGUAAAAGAUUUGAAGUCCCUCAAGAACUAAAAUUAUAUGGUGAUGAAUGAAGGCAUGGGGAAAUAUAUAUUGCAUUAUGAGAAGCGAGGGAUCUGGAAUCCCUACUAUCAGCUCAACCAAGCUGAGAGUCUAUAUCAACAAAAUGCUUGUGAAGCUAUAGUGUCCAUUUAAACCUUACCUUAGCAUCAAUUGAAGGAUGAGUCCCUGGAUGCUCCCUUGAUUAGGCAUUUCUGUGAACCCAUCCAAAAUUAAAGGCAUAAGAACUUGAAUGAUAACAUCAAAAGGUAUUUCCCACCCUUAGAGUCAAUUAGGGGACCUAGGCUUUUAAAACUAGGGCUGGCAGAUGAGCCAGCUGUUGGCAAGAUAGCUCAAGUUUGGCUUGAAAUUCUGCUAAGCUUUCACUCGCUCGAUUGAGAAAUGAGCCGAGCUGAGGUAAUCUUAGCUUGCUCAAGCUCGGCUCGUAUGAGCUCGAAAUGCUAAUGUAGAAAUGAUUAUAUAUAUAUAUAUAUUAUGUUAUUUUAUUAUCAUUAUAUACAAGUAGUUAUUUUAGUAAUUAUAAAUUAAUAUAGAUUAUCCAGAAUAGAAUUUAUUCUGACUAUAA
rnacentral:lncRNA from 1 species